rnacentral:lncRNA from 1 species
UUUUAAUUAAAUUCAGCAUCUUGUAUAUUGUGUAUUAUAUGUCAUAUUGUGUAUUGUAUUUGAUACGGUGUAUUGUAUUGUGUUCUAACAGAUUUCCCCACAAGUCCUCAUUCUCAGUGUCUGGUGUCUCUAUCUCAGUGUGACAUGAAGACACAUAUAACACACAGCAGUCUGUCAUCCUCCGCUGCGUUCAGACGUCUGCUCAAACAGACUCAGACGAGUAAACCGUGUGUUGACCUGCUGACCUGAUGACUAACCCCAGACACAGACUCUGCAGCUGAAAAGACGUAAAGGCAGUCAGCCCAGUGGUGUUUCUGGAAAGGGAUUCCUUCAGAAAUGGAGAAGACAGAAAGCUGCGGAGGCAGAUAUUUGCAGCAGUCUAAAAUAUCAAGCUCAACAGCUCACUCAAGAGCCAACCCUCACAAACCUUCCUAAAACCUAAAAGAGUUAUUACUGAGUCUCAGCGAAUCUUGCCAUGAUCAGCUCUUCCCAGGUACAUUUGUUUAGAAUAUUUUUUAAUCAACAUUUACUCAUCAAAUGCUCUGGUCUGAAUCUUACUUUAAAUUAACUUAAUUAUGUUUAAUGAGCAAUAUUAAUUGCUCAGAGAGUAAGUAGAGAUUUUCUUGUUUCACAGAAGAGAAGGAAGACCAAGGAAAUGAUUUGCUCAGGAUGAGAAAUGAAGACGGCCAUCUUGAGCUCAAACAAACAGAAGUCCUCUGAUGAUCUCAUCAGCCAAAUGAGGGGUUUUGACCAAAUGAUGCUCUUGAAAGGAGUGAAAGAAGAAGAUGUGCUAAAUUCUCUUCAGAGAAAAAGCUUCUCAAAAGGUCUCAAACCAGCUUGAAGAAUGGUCUGGGAUCUUAGGACUGAGAGAUCCUCUGGCUGAGGACAAGCUACACCACAUCAGUGCUGGAUAUCAACCACAAACUGUUUCCAGACACGAGAGAAGAAGAUCACGAUGGGGAGAUGAAACCAGUUUAGAUGUGAUGAUGGGAAUCAUUAUUUUCUGGAACAGUAUCACAUGUCUUAUAUGUAUCACAUGAUCUGUAUCACAGUUGACUGGAUGGGACUGUGUGACUUUUAAGGACAUUUCAUCACUCAUCUGUGUGAACUGAUUUAUAUAUGAGGUUAAUGUAUCUUUGAUGAUAAUUAUUUUCAUUGAAUCUUAUUUGUCUUGAUGCUACUUUAUCAACUUUAUAGUCUAUGCUUCAAUAAAAUGAAAAUGGUGAAUAUUGUGUUCUGAAGAUUCUUGGUAAAUACAUCAUUUUACUAGGUAGGCUCAUAUGUGUUUAUUUUAGACUUGGAAAAACGACAUAUUAAUUAUUGGGAUUAUUUUUUUAUUUAAGACAUGAACAUUUUUGAUCGGAUUAAUAACAUCUGGGACAUCAGUACACCAGAAAGUAUUUUUUUAUAUUUUAGUAACAAAUAUGCACAUUUUUUGUGAAAUAAAGGGAGUUACGAGAUUAACUAUUCUGCAUUACAAGAUGGUGCCAUGGGCUUUAUAGUUACAAACACUUGAGGGAUAACUGAGAAUGUAGCAGGAAUGAUCAACGUGGAUCUUGUACUGCAUUAAAACCAAGAGCAGGCACAUUACUGAUGUCCAGCACCUGAGGAGCAAGAUACGGGGGUGAGGAGGACAUUUUUACACUGAUUUCGGCUAAUUAGUUAUAUAUAAUGCUAAUAUAUAUAUAUAUAUAUAUAUAUAUAAAUUAAUAUUCUUAGCACUGCAUGAAUUUGUCCUUGUGUAAUAGUGAAGUAUCACAAUGUGUAUACAUUGUCCUUGAUUACUGCUUUACAGUGGGGAAUAGAUAAUGGCAAGUUGUUGCAGGUUCAUCCAUUAUAUUUCUUGCCAUUUACUUCAAAAAUCAAAGAAAUAAUCUAUUAUUUUCAUUAUUAAAUCAUUUCUUUCUAAUUUUUCCAUGUUUCAUCAGAUGGCCUCACAAUGUCCUGUCAAAAGGUAUAAUAGUCAUGAUGAAUAGAAUAGAAAACAGAGGACUGUGAAAACUGUCAGAUAUAAAUGUGACUCAGCUCAGUAUGUUGUUCAUGAUGAGGAGAAUACAUAUAUGUAGGUUUUACUGCCCUGCUACCCCCAGGGGCCCAGUAGCACCCCCGGAAGAGCCCAAAACUGUACAUUUCAAAUGGCUGUAAAUCAGAGUGCAAUUAACAUAUCAAAGAGAAAAUGGGCAGGAUUAUUACUUAUGCUAUGCUGAUAAAAUAAUGUUGAGCUCAGUUUUCAGAAAUAAGUGGAAAGCUGGCAUAAAAGCAUUUUAAAUAUUGCUCACUGUAAAAUACCACAUUUCAGCCUGCCUCUCAAAUAUAUCACAGAUGUUUGCACAAUAAACAUAUUUAGAUAUCCAGUUUACCUUAAAAUAAAUAAUUUAUUUAGUUUCGUUAAUAAAAAGUUUUAAACUACAUUACCCACAAGCCUCCGUCGUUCUAUCUAUGCAAAGGCAACACUAGGGGGCUGUUUUUUGUAGUUCAUUGAAGUUAUGCUUAGGGUUAGGAUUAGGAUCUCGCUAGAGAUGUCAUUUUUCUCAAGAUAGCAACACUUCAUUGUUGACUUAAUAUAUUACUAAUGUGAUGAUAGGAGCAAAACAUACUUUUUAACAUGAUGCGCUGUUUAAUAUGGGUUAAAAGAUAGUCCAACCACAGACUGUCCUGAAAAGUCAUAGCCAAUGACAUCUAAGCUGAGCAGCAGCGUCACACUUCCUUAUCCAUGUAUGACAGAUGUCUUUCGUUUUUCGGCUGAAGGGAUAGAUUCGGUUAACAAUAGAUUAAGCUUGCUACUUAUUAGAUUCUGUUUUAUUAACGUCUUCACCUUCCUCCGUUGUUCAGCUUGACAAACAUUGGGCAAUAUUGAUGUGCACAUGCCCAGCAGUCGCAGUUGUAUCCAACAGAUAGAUUCCUCUCAUUAAAUAUAAGACACAUUUUUAAGAUUUGUAUAUUUUUUUUUUUUGACCAAAGACAAAUAUAUUUACUAAUCAAAUGACGUGCUUCUAAAAUUUACAUUGUAUAUUACAUUGUGUUUUAAAGUUAAAAUUGUUCACAUUUGUGUUUCUGUGAUUUACCAUUCUCUACCAUUUGAACCCUAGGAAUAAAAACAGAAAUUAUAAAUUAAUGAAUGAAUGAAUGAACAAAUAAAUACAUAAAGCAUAAUAAACAUGCAUAUUUUUGUAAGGAUCUUCCAUCAUUUAUUGAUAUGUCAAACUCAUUUAAAGACAACAUGCCCAAAUUACUACACUGCAUCCUCUGUCACCAAGCUCGUUUUUGCCACCAUAAAGAAUAAAAAGGCAGUUAUGUUGUAAACAUUAACUAUUUUCAGUAUGCAAAUGAAAAUGCUUUUAUUAAAAAACAAAACAGUAAAUACAGUAUGUCUUUCAGAGAACACUGGAAAAAGAUCAAUUUUAUUAAAAAAAUUAAAUUGACCAAAAUGUUAUACAACACAAUGUAAAUGUUUCAAACUCACAAAAAAAACACCAUGAAGACAUGCAUGUCAAGUGUGCAAUAUCAUCUAUAAAAUUCAAUCAGCACAGCAUCAAAUAAACACUGAUUGUCUGAACAAUGGAAGACAGAGAAAGUGUUCAGGAAAACAAACACCUGCUAGCUUUGACAAUAACAUCAUGAAUUCACUUCAUGACUGGAGCUAGGGGAUGACUGUGUAUGAAUAUCUCCUUUACUAAAACUCUUAAUUAAAGUCUAAAAAGUUCACUGUAUGAAGCUUGAAAAAGAGAACAAAAUGCUUUAUCAAUACGAAAAAUACUAUUUUUAACUAUUGUUUUCAUCACUGGUUCUGUAAUGUAUUCAUUAUGAGCUUAUAAAUAAAACAAAGUUACAUCUUCUGCAAAAAUCUAACCACUGCAAAGUCUAAUCACUGAUCCAGGGACCAUAUCUGUGUGUGUGGGGGAUAAAGAGUUAACGAGGUGAGUCCUUGUGCAUGAUGGAGAACUGCAGUGUUAUCCUCAAACAAUCCUGUAAAACAGAAAUAUUACAUUACAUUCAACUUAUACAUUACACUGUGUUUUGUUUAGACCAUAAAAGCAGCCUCUGUAAAGAUGCUGUAAAAUUAAAUGUUAAAUGAAUCCAUUAUUGAAAGCAAGUAAUUAAUAACAAGCUAUAGUCAUAUGAAUUAUUUUGAUAGUGUCAGAUGAGACCGUCCUGGGGCUUGUACAAUAUCAUACAAGUGUUAAACUGGAUUAUUAAGACUGUGAUGUGUUUAGUACAGUAUGUGAAAUAUUGAUAAUUAGAUAUUAAAAAUCUCUUUAAACACAUAAGUGUCCCAUAAGGCAGUGGCUCCCAAUCCUGGUCCUGGAGAACCCCAACACUGCACAUUUGAGAUGUCUCCCUGAUCAAACACACCUGAUUCAACUCAUCAGCUCAUCAGUGAAGACUCCAAGGCAGAUAAGAGAGACGCCAAAACCGUGCAGUGCUGGGGUUCUCCAGGAUCAGGAUUGGGAAACACAGUCAUCAGGUCAUGAAAAGUUUGACACACACUUGUGGUCAUCAUGCUCACUUGAACACUAGGCCAAAUACAGGAAAGACUUCAAAUAAGUAAUCAAGUGGUCAAGUGGAAAGAUGGCAAGUGUGGGUAUUUGGACAGUGCAACAGUUUAAGAAACAACAAAUGCUGUACAAAUUAUAACAGCAGGAAUUUUUGAUAAAAGAGACAAACUAUCACAGACUUACUGCUGCAAAUAUCUGCCUCCGCAGCUUUCUGUCUUCUCCAUUUCUGAAGGAAUCCCUCUCCAGAAACACCACUGGGCUGACUGCCUUUACGUCUUUUCAGCUAAAAAUAUAAAUAAUAAAAAAGGGGAGAGAAAAUAAAAUUGAAUUAUAUACAGAAUGUUAUAUAUAUAUAUAUGAAAAUAAAUAU